GGGGAGGGCAGGUUUGACUUUCUAAAUGGGCUUUGUUCACCCAAUGGAAGAGAAAACUCCAGAGCUUGCUCAGCAGCCUGGGCACUGGGCUGCCAGCGUGGGCGGGGCCCCUUGGGGGAGCCAGGGACUGAGCAGCCCCUUUGGGUGGCUUCAUGGUAAAACAAGGUUUUCUCACCUCAAGGCCUUUUGUGUAACGAUGGGUGAGAGCUAAGAGCGGCGGGGGGUGAGGUGAGAGAAAGGCGCAGAGGAAUCAGGCAGCUUACUCAAAACCCGCAGGCGGCACGGGCAGGGCUGGAAGCGAGGGGCCGCCUCUGCUGAAGUGGUCUGGCUCCCAGCGGGACCCAUUGUUGGGCCAGGCACUCCUCCUUCCCGGGCCCCUACCCCUGAGAGCAGAAGCAGGGCACCUCCGGCGGGUGCCAGCACAGAGGGCCUCUGGCUCUUGGCUCCAGGUCCUCACUGGCAUAGAGACAAAGCCAGGACAAUCUCCAGUCACUACAGCACACAGUACAGCGCAUCCCACCGUGAUCAGACCCCAGAUCUUCAGAGGCAUUGACCUGGCCACGGUCAUGGGGAGAAUCGGCAGGUCUCCUGCGUCAUCUGUAGCUCUGUCCACUGACCACUUGGACACCUGUGCCCAGGAGCUAGCGACCAGACCGUCCCUGAAGGGGCAGCAGCAACAGCAGGAAACACGGCUUCCUGUGGACAUGCUGAUGACCCGAUGUCAGAGGCCGAGCUCAGAUGCUGCGUGGUACACAUUACCUCCAGCAGCUCAUUUAGUUUUUAAAUUAAAAACCUACAUUUGGUACUCCAAGC
rnacentral:lncRNA from 1 species